GUUCUUCAACUACAGAAACUUU
rnacentral:tRNA from 1 species